rnacentral:rRNA from 1 species
GACGAACGCUGGCGGCGUGCUUAACACAUGCAAGUCGAACGGAAAGGCUCCAGCUUGCUGGAGUACUCGAGUGGCGAACGGGUGAGUAACACGUGGGUAAUCUGCCCUGCACUCUGGGAUAAGCCAGGGAAACUGGGUCUAAUACUGGAUAUGACCUUUCUCCUUAUGGGGUUUGGUGGAAAGUUUUUCGGUGUAGGAUGAGCCCGCGGCCUAUCAGCUUGUUGGUGGGGUGAUGGCCUACCAAGGCGACGACGGGUAGCCGGCCUGAGAGGGUGAUCGGCCACAUUGGGACUGAGAUACGGCCCAGACUCCUACGGGAGGCAGCAGUGGGGAAUAUUGCACAAUGGGCGGAAGCCUGAUGCAGCGACGCCGCGUGAGGGAUGACGGCCUUCGGGUUGUAAACCUCUUUCAGCAGGGACGAAGCGUAAGUGACGGUACCUGCAGAAGAAGCACCGGCUAACUACGUG